rnacentral:rRNA from 1 species
AUACAAUUCCCGGACCACGCCUGGCUGAGGGUCG